GAUGAACGCUGGCGGCGUGCCUAAUACAUGCAAGUCGAGCGAAUGGAUUAAGAGCUUGCUCUUAUGAAGUUAGCGGCGGACGGGUGAGUAACACGUGGGUAACCUGCCCAUAAGACUGGGAUAACUCCGGGAAACCGGGGCUAAUACCGGAUAACAUUUUGAACCGCAUGGUUUGAAAUUGAAAGGCGGCUUCGGCUGUCACUUAUGGAUGGACCCGCGUCGCAUUAGCUAGUUGGUGAGGUAACGGCUCACCAAGGCAACGAUGCGUAGCCGACCGGAGAGGGGGAUCGGCCACACUGGGAGUGAGACAGGGCCCAGACCCCUACGGGGGGCAGCAGUAGGGAUUCUUCCGAAAUGGCCGAAAGUCUGACGGAGCAACGCCGCGUGGGUGAUGAAGGCGUUCGGGUCGUAAAACUCUGUUGUUAGGGAAGAACAAGUACUAGUUGAAUAAGCUGGCACCUUGACGGUACCUAACCAGAAAGCCACGGCUAACUACGUGCCAGCAGCCGCCGUAA
rnacentral:rRNA from 1 species